CUCUGGUAUUGAUUGGUGCUUACAUCACCCUUUACAUUUGAGUGAGUGGCGAACUGGUGACCCCCACGUGGGAAACCUGCCCAGAAGCGGGGGAUAACACCUGGAAACAGAUGCUAAUACCGCAUAACAACUUGGACCGCAUGGUCCGAGUUUGAAAGAUGGCUUCGGCUAUCACUUUUGGAUGGUCCCGCGGCGUAUUAGCUAGAUGGUGAGGUAACGGCUCACCAUGGCAAUGAUACGUAGCCGACCUGAGAGGGUAAUCGGCCACAUUGGGACUGAGACACGGCCCAAACUCCUACGGGAGGCAGCAGUAGGGAAUCUUCCACAAUGGACGAAAGUCUGAUGGAGCAACGCCGCGUGAGUGAAGAAGGGUUUCGGCUCGUAAAACUCUGUUGUUAAAGAAGAACAUAUCUGAGAGUAACUGUUCAGGUAUUGACGGUAUUUAACCAGAAAGCCACGGCUAACUACGUGCCAGCAGCCGCGGUAAUACGUAGGUGGCAAGCGUUGUCCGGAUUUAUUGGGCGUAAAGCGAGCGCAGGCGGUUUUUUAAGUCUGAUGUGAAAGCCUUCGGCUCAACCGAAGAAGUGCAUCGGAAACUGGGAAACUUGAGUGCAGAAGAGGACAGUGGAACUCCAUGUGUAGCGGUGAAAUGCGUAGAUAUAUGGAAGAACACCAGUGGCGAAGGCGGCUGUCUGGUCUGUAACUGACGCUGAGGCUCGAAAGUAUGGGUAGCAAACAGGAUUAGAUACCCUGGUAGUCCAUACCGUAAACGAUGAAUGCUAAGUGUUGGAGGGUUUCCGCCCUUCAGUGCUGCAGCUAACGCAUUAAGCAUUCCGCCUGGGGAGUACGGCCGCAAGGCUGAAACUCAAAGGAAUUGACGGGGGCCCGCACAAGCGGUGGAGCAUGUGGUUUAAUUC
rnacentral:rRNA from 2 species